ACCGGGAUAGUUCAGUGGGUACAGCAUGAGACUCUUAAUUUCAGGGUUGUGGGUAUGAGCCCCACAUUGGACA